rnacentral:siRNA from 1 species
AUUCUUCACUUACUUCACACGUGC